AGAGUUUGAUUCUGGCUCAGAUUGAACGCUGGCGGCGUGCUUAACACAUGCAAGUCGAACGCGAAAGUGGCUUCGGCCACGAGUAGAGUGGCGCACGGGUGAGUAACGCGUGGAUAAUCUGCCUCUGCAAUCGGAAUAACGACUGGAAACGGUCGCUAAUACCGGAUACGCUUAAGUUUUACUUCUUAAGGAAAGAUGACCUCUAUUUAUAAGUUAUCGUGCAGAGAUGAGUCCGCGUCCCAUUAGCUUGUUGGCGGGGUAACGGCCCACCAAGGCGACGAUGGGUAGCCGAUUUAAGAGGAUGAUCGGCCACAUUGGAACUGAAACACGGUCCAAACUCCUACGGGAGGCAGCAGUGGGGAAUAUUGCGCAAUGGGCGAAAGCCUGACGCAGCGACGCCGCGUGAGGGAUGAAGGUCUUCGGAUCGUAAACCUCUGUCAGAAGGGAAAAAUGUACAGUGCCCCAAUCAACACUGUAUUGAUGGUACCUUCAGAGGAAGCACCGGCUAACUCCGUGCCAGCAGCCGCGGUAAUACGGAGGGUGCAAGCGUUAAUCGGAAUUACUGGGCGUAAAGCGCGCGUAGGUUGUUUUGUAAGUCAGAGGUGUAAUCUCACGGCUUAACCGUGGAACUGCCUUUGAUACUGCAUAACUUGGAUCCGGGAGAGGACAGCGGAAUUCCAGGUGUAGGAGUGAAAUCCGUAGAUAUCUGGAAGAACAUCAGUGGCGAAGGCGGCUGUCUGGACCGGUAUUGACGCUGAGGCGCGAAAGCGUGGGUAGCAAACAGGAUUUGAUACCCUGGUAGUCCACGCUGUAAACGAUGAUUACUAGGUGUGGGGGGAUUGACCCCUUCCGUGCCGCAGUUAACACAAUAAGUAAUCCACCUGGGGAGUACGACCGCAAGGUUGAAACUCAAAGGAAUUGACGGGGGCCCGCACAAGCAGUGGAGUAUGUGGUUUAAUUCGAAGCAGCGCGAAGAACCUUACCAGGUCUUGACAUCGAGUGACGUAUCCAGAGAUGGAUAUUUCCUUCGGGACACAAAGACAGGUGGUGCAUGGUUGUCGUCAGCUCGUGUCGUGAGAUGUUGGGUUAAGUCCCGCAACGAGCGCAACCCUUAUCAUUAGUUGCUACGCAAGAGCACUCUAAUGAGACUGCCGUUGACAAAACGGAGGAAGGUGGGGAUGACGUCAAAUCAUCAUGCCCCUUAUGACCUGGGCUACACACGUACUACAAUGGCGAUCGAACAGAGGGAAGCAAGACAGCGAUGUGGAGCCAAUCCCAAAAAAUCGCCCCAGUUCAGAUUGCAGGCCGCAACUCGCCUGCAUGAAGUCGGAAUUGCUAGUAAUCGCAGAUCAGCAUGCUGCGGUGAAUACGUUCCCGGGCUUUGUACACACCGCCCGUCACACCAUGGGAGUCGGUAACACCCAAAGCCGGUCGUCUAACCUUCGGGAGGACGCCGUCUAAGGUGGGAUUGAUGACUGGGGUGAAGUC
rnacentral:rRNA from 1 species